rfam:Ixodes scapularis strain Wikel colony gcontig_1107728596298, whole genome shotgun sequence.
CCCUGGUUAGCUCAGUUGGUAGAGCGCUCCACUUGUAAUGGAGAGGUCCCGGGUUCGAUACCCGGACCAGACG